rnacentral:rRNA from 1 species
AGCAGCCGCGGUAAUUCCAGCUCCAAUAGCGUAUAUUAAAGUUGCUGCAGUUAAAAAGCUCGUAGUUGAAUUUCGGGACCACUAUGUCGGUCGUGCUUCGGUACGUACUGUCAUUAUUGGUUUCUCCCUUCUGAAGAACCUUGAUGUCAUUAAUUUGGUGUCUUGGGGAAUCAGGACUGUUACUUUGAAAAAAUUAGAGUGUUUAAAGCAGGCUCGCGCUUGAAUACAUUAGCAUGGAAUAAUGAAAUAGGACGUUUGAUUCUAUUUUGUUGGUUUCUAGGAUCGACGUAAUGAUUAAUAGGGAUAGUUGGGGGCAUUAGUAUUCAAUUGUCAGAGGUGAAAUUCUUGGAUUUAUUGAAGACUAACUACUGCGAAAGCAUUUGCCAAGGAUGUUUUCAUUAAUCAAGAACGAAAGUUAGGGGAUCGAAGACGAUCAGAUACCGUCGUAGUCUUAACCAUAAACUAUGCCGACUAGGGAUCGGAUGAUGUUAAUUUUUUAAUGACUCAUUCGGCGCCUUACG